GCCGAGGUGGCGGAGCGGUUAACGCGCCUGGCUUGAGACCAGGUUCCCACAAGGAGCGCAGGUAAAGACUUUCUUUUAGAAAAAGAAAGUCCUUAACGUCAAAGAAAACCAAAUUCGCAUAUCACCGCGAAGUUGGCUGAUUGGCGGUCUGCAAUCGAAUCCUGCCCUCGGCG
rnacentral:tRNA from 1 species